rnacentral:rRNA from 1 species
GAGGAAAAGAAACCAACAGGGAUUGCCUCAGUAACGGCGAGUGAAGCGGCAAAAGCUCAAAUUUUAAAGCUGGCACCUCCGGUGUCCGCGUUGUAAUUUUGUGAGGCAUCUCCGGGUGGGGCGCCGGCCUAAGUUCCUUGGAACAGGACGUCAUAGAGGGUGAGAAUCCCGUGCUUGGCUGGCUGUCCCCGUCCAUGUGAGGUGUCUUCGACGAGUCGAGUUGUUUGGGAAUGCAGCUCAAAAUGGGUGGUAAAUUUCAUCUAAAGCUAAAUAUUGGUGGGAGACCGAUAGCGCACAAGUAGAGUGAUCGAAAGAUGAAAAGCACUUUGAAAAUAGAGUUAAAAAGUACGUGAAAUUGUUGAAAGGGAAGCGCUUGAGACCAGACUUCGGUGGGGAGUGAUCAGCCGUCCUUCUGGGCGGUGCACUUGCCCCCCUCCGGGCCAGCAUCGGUUGGGACGGCGGGAUAAAGGUCCCGGGAAUGUGGCUCCUCUCGGGGAGUGUUAUAGCCCGGGUGAAUGCCGCCAGCCCCGACCGAGGACCGCGCCUUCGGGCUAGGAUGCUUGGCAUAAUGGUCUUCAGCGACC